rnacentral:rRNA from 1 species
UAACGCGAAAAACCUUACCUGGUCUUGACAUCCCGCUGGAUAUCCGGCAAUGCGGAUAGGCCCUUAUGGGACAGCGGAGACAGGUGGUGCAUGGUUGUCGUCAGCUCGUGUCGUGAGAUGUUGGGUUAAGUCCCGCAACGAGCGCAACCCUUAUCCUUAGUAGCCAGCAUUUAAGGUGGGCACUCUAGGGAGACUGCCGGGGAUAACCCGGAGGAAGGCAGGGAUGACGUCAAAUCAUCAUGCCCCUUAUGGCCAGGGCUACACACGUGCUACAAUGGCGUAAACAAAGGGAAGCGGACCGGCGACGGCGAGCGAAUCCCAGAAAUAACGUCCCAGUUCGGAUUGUAGUCUGCAACCCGACUACAUGAAGCUGGAAUCGCUAGUAAUCGCGGAUCAGAA